rnacentral:rRNA from 1 species
GCGUAUCCCAGGCCGGCAGCCGCGUGGUUACGGAGGAGGGUAGCGUUGUGCGGAAGUACUGGGCGGAAAGCGCACGUAGGCGGAACAGAAAGUCAGAGGUGAAAUCCCAGGGCUCAACCUUGGAACUGCCUGUGAAACUCCUGGUCUUGAGGUCGAGAGAGGUGAGUGGAAUUCCGAGUGUAGAGGUGAAAUUCGUAGAUAUUCGGAGGAACACCAGUGGCGAAGGCGGCUCACUGGCUCGAUACUGACGCUGAGGUGCGAAAGCGUGGGGAGCAAACAGGAUUAGAUACCCCGGUAGUC